UGGGGGAUAUUGCACAAUGGGCGAAAGCCUGAUGCAGCGACGCCGCGUGGGGGAUGAAGGCCUUCGGGUUGUAAACUUCUUUUGCUCUGAACAAGGCGCACCAUGGGGUGUGUUGAGUGUAGGGGUUGAUUAGCGCCGGCUAACUACGUGCCAGCAGCCGCGGUAAUACGUAGGGCGCGAGCGUUGUCCGGAAUUAUUGGGCGUAAAGGGCUUGUAGGUGGCUGGUUGCGUCUGUCGUGAAAGCUCAUGGCUUAACUGUGGGUUUGCGGUGGGUACGGGCUGGCUUGAGUGCAGUAGGGGAGGCUGGAGUUCCUGGUGUAGCGGUGGAAUGCGCAGAUAUCAGGAGGAAUACCGGUGGCGAAGGCGGGUCUCUGGGCUGUUACUGACACUGAGGAGCGAAAGCAUGGGGAGCGAACAGG
rnacentral:rRNA from 1 species